rnacentral:rRNA from 1 species
CAAACGAYUCUCGGCAACGGAUAUCUCGGCUCACGCAUCGAURAARAACGUAGCAAAAUGCGAUAYUUGGUGUGAAUUGCAGAAUCCCGUGAACCAUCGAGUUUUUGAACGCAAGUUGCGCCCGAAGCCUUUUGGCCGAGGGCACGUCUGCCUGGGCGUCACAC